UGAUGACAGGCAGAGCCUUGACCGGGGACCAAAUUUGUCAGAAAACACCUACAUCUGGUAAGCUAUAGUGGCCAAGUGGAUGGAGUAGCCACAGAGCUGCCAGUAGCUAGCCAGCCAGCCCUAAGCAGGUGACCCAGAAGUCUGAGAUCCAGGACCUUUUCAGAGGCAAGCCCUGAAGCUGCGAAACCUCAAAGCCACUCUUCUUUUGUGAGGAGAAGGUGAAGAGAAACGAAAGCUAACACUAUGCACUGCCUUACAGGGUGUUCCAGAUUAGUUCAAGAGUUUCCUCCCCAUUUCUACCCAGCAUUCCAUCAAAUGGCCACACCUUCGUCACUGUGUAGAGCACUGGGCUUCCUUCUGAUCUCAGAAGUUACCAACAUUGCUGCAGUAAUAAACUCUGGAAAAUUUGACUUUUCACAAGAGAAGUGUAGUCCCUAGGGAGAAGAAUGAAAAAGAAAUAAAAGGAAAUGGUGACAUAUCUUUGUCGGUUGCUGACAAAUCGUCCUCCCGAUGGUCCGUGCUGACUCUGCUGCCCCACUUGUAGCGCCCCAGCUGCAAAUGGACCCAUCCUGACCUGGAAAACUGUGUUUCAGAGACUCCAUUCAGUAAGCUGUUCCCAUAAUGCCAGCAGAUGAGUUGGCUAUGUAAGCGGGCACAGUUCUGGUGCAAGAGGAGCUCCCUCCAGCCAAAGCUCCCUUGCUAUUGGAUGCUGUCCAAUUCCCACGACCAUUUGUCUAGGGAUUCUGCCCAUACAAGAGCUACUCCUGGAUCCCACUCACCUUUGCACGUCUAGCAUCAGACACACCACGUACUCAAUAAAGGCUUAUUGUGGGGAGUUCUGAUUAGAUUCUUAGGCCAGCCUAGCUCAGUGGUUGGGUUCCAGGUACCAGAGAGUAUCCCUGUCUCAAAAACUUUAGAUUGCUCCUGAGGAAGUUGAUUUCUGUGUUCCAUAUACAUAUGUAUAAAUACACAUAUGUGCACAUACAUUCUACAUAGAUGAAUGUAUGAAUACACACAAAUAAAAAUAGAUUACUCAAGGUCUUCUCAUGGUGGCACAACUUUAACCCUAGUACUCAGGAAACAGAGGCAGGCAAAGUUUGAGGUCAGCCUGAUCUGUAUAGAGAAUUGCAGGCCAGCCAGAACUACAUAUGAGACCCCAUCUCAAAAAUAAAUAAACAAGCAAACAAAGAAUAUAAAUAAAAGUUUGAGGCCGGUAGGAUGUCACAGUAAAUAAUCAUACUUUCCCAAAUAAAAGUUAUAUUAGAUGAGAG
rnacentral:lncRNA from 1 species